AUGGACCUUCUCCUCCAUGGUCUCGUUUCUCCCCGUUCCCUACAACAUGGUCCCUCGACUGCGUGUGUCCAGGUUGACUCAUCCUGAGCCAGGUGAAGUCUUGAUCUCUUCUUUCCUGUACGCUUGCACUGCUCUCUGUUGGUAACAGAAAGCUGAGAGCUUGGAGAUUCAUUGGAUUGCUGUCAAUGAUUUGUUGUGUAUGGGAGUGUUUGUGUCCACUAUUGUUCCAUCCAGAGGCUAAAUUUGAAAAAGGAUUGUAAGUUGAGUUCAUUAUCCAUAAUGAAGACUUACUUCAUUAAGUAGCAAGCCAUUUUAAAGCUUGUUUUUCAAACAAGGACAAAAGUGUGCUAGAAAGCAGAAAAUAUGGAGCUCAUAAGGUUUAAGCUUAGAAACUGCAUCAGAUUUAGGUUCGGUUGUGGGUUAGGGUCAGGUAUUUAGCAGGGUUAAGGUUAGGGGUUAAGGGUUGCUGACUGUUACAACGUGUCAUCUGACCACAUUAGUGAUAGGCUAGAACAGGGGUCCCCAAACUACGGUCCGCCGGGCGCAUACGGCCCGCCUCCACAUUUGACCCGGCCCCCUGAACAAUACAGAGACGAGAAAAGGCUAAUGGUUAUGGUAAAUGGUUGUGUCAUACAAGUAAUUACGACUGCUCGACGGAUCGCGGUCCCUUUAAAUGUUCUGUUGUUGUUGAUGACGUAGAGCCCGUUGAUAGGGACAUUACAGGGCUGCGCCAUCUUGUUUUUUCAUCCGUUGUGAAAAAUAAACGAGACACACGCUUGUUCUCAACUUUCUCAGUGGAAUGCAACUUCCACAAUAAUGGCAAAACGGUGUGGUAAGAGAAAAAUUGAUUCAGAAUGCAGGGUAUUUAACCCGCAGUGGACACAUUACUUUUUUGUUCAGUUGAAAGAAAAGGCUGUUUGUCUCGUCUGUCAAGAGACGGUGGCAGUAUUCAAAGAAUACAACCUGCGCCGACAUUAUGAAUCCCGUCACAAAGACAAGUAUGCUAGCCUGCACGGCCAAAUGCGAGCAGAAAAAAUGUCUAAGCUAAAAACUGGACUGUUCGCUCAGCAGACUACAUUUGUACGGCAAACUCAGCUGAACCAAGCAUCAGUUCGGGCCAGCUUCCGUGUUGCUCAGCUGAUAGCAAGCUGCGGUAAAUCUUUCACUGAAGGAGAGUUUGUCAAGAAAUGUUUGAAUGUUGUCGUGGAGGAGGUCUGUCCCGAGAAGAAAGAUGUCUUUAAUUCCGUGAGUCUGUCGGCAAGUACAAUUACCCGACGUGUUGAAGAAAUCGGGGGUAAUGUGUAUGCCCAGCUGCAGCAGAAGACUAAAGAUUUUCAGGUUUUUUCAUUAGCACUGGAUGAGAGCACGGACGUGCAGGACACCGCGGAGCUUCUUAUUUUUAUUCGUGGAGUUAACGCAAACUUUUUGGCAGCACGUAUAUCUGCGAGCAAACCUUUUCACGCAUGAAACUCCUGAAAACUCCAACGAGAUCAAGAUUGACAGAUGAACAUUUGCAUCAGUGUUUGAGACUGGCUGUGACUAGAAUGGAACCGGACAUUCAACUUCUCUCCAGCCAGAUGCAGGCCCACAGAUCACACUGAUGAACACACAGUACAUAGGGGGAAGUUGAUGAGAGGGAGCCUACAGUGGUGUCUACUGGGCUAGCCUAUGGAACCUACAAAGAACACAAGAACUUUGAGAGACAUUUGAGAUUCUGCUGUGACAAGUGAAGUUUACCUUUUAUCUAGGAUUGUGCAUGGCACAGCAUAACUUUCUUUCUGUGAAGAACCCAGAGAGGGUUAUUUGAUCUCAGAAAGGGUUAUUAAUAUUUGGAUAUGUGUGGUGCGCUGGAGUGUCAGCAUGUUUUCUGGAAAACAAUAAAUUGAUUACAUUUAGGGACCCCUG